ensembl:lncRNA
CCGGAUCUAAGUGAGGCUAUCUCACUGUUCAGACAGAAAAUGUGUCUUCAUCUAGAUGAAAAGGGGAUGAAGGGCUAAGAAGGCUAAAUGCUAGCGGACUCAGCGAUGACAAGAAAAAACCCACCAGUUUGUGGGCAUUUUCCGAGGACCAGUUUAAGCUUAAUUUGAACUUUAGGAUACACAGACUCCACCUAAUGCAAUACAGACCAAAACCGGAUGAAAAUAUUGUGGACUUCAUGACUAGAGCCAGAACUUUAGCAUUGAAGUGCAAAUUCACAGAAGGGGAGUUGCAUGAACGUCUCAUUGUGCUCAUCAUUGCUAGCACGCCACACAAUGCACUGAAGAACGACCUGUAUGGGAAACCUCAUGGCUACUCCCUGGCUGAUGUGUUAGAAGAAGGACGGAAAUAUUAAGCUUCAUCAGCAGGGAACCAACAGCUAAACCAGCUUGGAUUAUCCAACUCUGAAAAAGUACACGCAAUACAAAGAGGGCAAACAUGCCGGAACUGUGGCAGAAGCCACGAACCGCGUCAGUGCCCUGCAUUGAAUGAUGAAUCCUCUGCAUGUGGGGCAAAAGGGCACUGGGCAAGGUGCUGUAGAAAGAACAAACGACAAUCAAAGCAAAACUUCAGCACAAGAAGAAACCAAUCUAGGUUGGACUCUGGUCCGGAGAAGGUCAGCGGAGAGAAGGUCUAUUUUCAGACUUGAAUCUACCGCUCCGUUGGGCCUAAAUGAUGGUGGU